rnacentral:rRNA from 1 species
ACGGAAGGCAGCAGUGGGGAAUAUUGCACAAUGGGGGAAACCCUGAUGCAGCGACGCCGCGUGAGUGAUGAAGUAUUUCGGUAUGUAAAGCUCUAUCAGCAGGGAAGAAAUGACGGUACCUGACUAAGAAGCACCGGCUAAAUACGUGCCAGCAGCCGCGGUAAUACGUAUGGUGCAAGCGUUAUCCGGAUUUACUGGGUGUAAAGGGAGCGUAGGCGGCAUGGCAAGCCAGAUGUGAAAGCCCGGGGCCCAACCCCGGAACUGCAUUUGGAACUGUCAGGCUAGAGUACCGGAGAGGUAAGCGGAAUUCCUAGUGUAGCGGUGAAAUGCGUAGAUAUUAGGAGGAACACCAGUGGCGAAGGCGGCUUACUGGACGGUAACUGACGCUGAGGCUCGAAAGCGUGGGGAGCAAACAGGAUUGAUCCCUGGUA